GUGCAACUUACUCACAACCGUCGUCUUAAACUUGUUGUUGUCAUAUUCAGCUCCACAUAUUUCCACCUCCACAAAGGGACAUGCGAUGCUUCGUCCAGGCUUGGGAAGAUGGCGAGCCCCGAGAACCUAGGACACCGAAGCAUGUGAAUAUCUCUGAAGGAGAGUCUGAGCAUGAAGCCCUCGAAGACAGAUGCACCAGGAAGAAGGAGAGGACACAGAGACCUGUUGAGGGAAUGUGACACGUGCAAGGUCACAUAGCUAGUAACGGCAAAGCUGAGGCCUGAAUGAGGCCUGACUCCAAGCUUCCCGUCUGUCACCAC